rnacentral:rRNA from 1 species
GAUGAACGCUAGCGGCAGGCCUAAUACAUGCAAGUCGAACGGGGGGUCGCAAGACCACUAGUGGCGCACGGGUGCGUAACGCGUAACCAACCUGCCCCGAUCGGGGGGAUAGCCCGCCGAAAGGCGGAUUAAUACCGCAUAUACCCGCAGCCUGGCAUCAGGCAACGGGGAAAGAUUUAUUGGAUCGGGAUGGGGUUGCGUGACAUUAGCUAGUUGGCGGGGUAAGGGCCCACCAAGGCGACGAUGUCUAGGGGACCUGAGAGGGUGAUCCCCCACACUGGCACUGAGAUACGGGCCAGACUCCUACGGGAGGCAGCAGUAGGGAAUAUUGGGCAAUGGGCGAGAGCCUGAACCAGCCAUGCCGCGUGCCGGAUGAAGGCCUUCUGGGUUGUAAACGGCUUUUCUCAGGGAAGAAAAAGACCUUGCGAGGUACACUGACGGUACCUGAGGAAUAAGCACCGGCUAACUCCGUG